CUCUCUCUCUCUGUGUCUCUCUCUCUUUCUCUUCCUGUCUCUAAACUUGGUUUGGUGUUUUGACAGGAUGAGGAGGCUGAUGAAGGAGGCCUAAACAAAUCAUCUAACCCUAACCCCGACACUCCUCAGAGUGACGCAUGUUUAACAUUACAAGAUCAGGAGAUGGAGGCAGCGGAGCAGGAGGUGGAGCACAGAGAGCAGGUGCGGAGAGGAAGACGGCGUUCCGGAGCACAGUCUUCCACAGCAGGUGAGUAGAGAUGACAUGGUUAGUGCUG
ensembl:lncRNA